AAAAGCUCAACAGACUCAGAGGACUGUUGAUUCUUCUACUUCUCAGACUCAACAGGCUGAAAAUCCUGUUACAAAAAAACAGACACAGCAGACUGAUAAUUCUGUUACUAGACUUAUUAGCCCAAUAGAUCUUAAACAAAAAAGCCCAAUUAAUUUUCCAGGAUCAUUCCAAUCAGCUCAGGAUCCAGAACAGAUUUCUCAGUCAGAUAUUAGAAAGAUUAAAGAAAUGUUUGAUAAGAUUGAAGAAAUUCAGCAACAAGUUAAACAAAGUACUACGAAGAAAAAGAAAUUACAAAUUAAAAAGAAAAAUAAAGGAAAAAAGAAGAUUGAACAAGACAGAGAUUUAGAUGACUUCAAAGACAAUAAUUCAGAAGAUAAUCCAGAA
rnacentral:lncRNA from 1 species